UAAUAUAUAAGUAUGUCUAUAAUACAGCCAUUUAAACUGAAAUGGAUUGUUAUAAAUAUUUCAAAUUAGAGAUUGAACUAAUAGUAGACUGAACAAAUUUUUUUAAUCGUUUCUAUAAUUCGUAUCGUAGCCAAUCGUAUCAGUUCAAUUAACUCGGAAUUCAGGCCACUGAAUGACUUUGUCUUUCCAAGUUAUUUGCAGUACACAGCGACGCCUAGACGUGUUUGGACUCCAUAAGCAUAUGCUUGUGAGUGGCUGUAAUUUCUAUUUCACUUUAAUUGUGACAACCACAAUUAACAUUUUUAUUGAAGUAUUAGCAAUACGCAAAUAUUAAAAAUGUUAAUCAUUGUUUCGAUGCGCAAAUAAUUCGCUCGCUGGAUGUUGUUGUUGUAGCCCGCUGGAAUCUGCUUGUGUGACCCCUUUGGGUAAUGUUGAACGACGCUUGGUCGUCUUCGACGAGUGGCUCCGAGACGUAGACCCGACUCACUAGAUGUCAUAUAGAUUAAUGUAUGCUGUAUGAGCUUUCUGUACACGGCUAAUAACGACUCUACCGUCCACACAUACUUUAUUAUAAGUAGUUGAAUAUGAAAAAGUUCAUUAGCGAAUUUUGUUAUGUCUAAAGGUAUCUUCUCCGAACAGGAAAACAUGGUUAUUUAUAUUUCUUUUGUUGUUCCUCAAAUCUACAGUCCUUCAUCAUCAAGGAUACGUUUCAACAGGUAAGUAAAAAUUAUUACUAAAAUAAUAAUUGUGAAGAUAUAUGUAAAGAAAGAAAAA